rnacentral:rRNA from 1 species
UACGUAGGUGGCAAGCGUUACUCGGAAUCACUAGGCGUAAAGCGCAGGUAGGAGGUUUAGUAAGUCUGUUGUGAAAGCUCCCGGCUUAACUGGGAGAGGUCAACGGAAACUGCUAGGCUGGAGUGCGGUAGAGGUAGCUGGAAUUCCCGGUGUAGCGGUGAAAUGCGUAGAUAUUGGGAGGAACACCAGUGGCGAAGGCGGCUCACUGGACUGGUACUGACGCUGAGGCGCGAAAGCGUGGGGAGCAAACGGG